rnacentral:lncRNA from 10 species
CUAACUUAUAGGGAGCACUUGAGUGAAUAUUCUAGAGUCCUCCCAGACGAUCUGGGAGCUCAGGAGGGGGAAUUGCACUGAAGAUUUGUCCCAUCGUGAAGCAAGAGCACUGGAACUUACACUCCACCAUCAGGCCCUGUCACAGGAGAACAAAGAAGGAAGGCAGAGGAGAUCAUGCUCCGGCCAGCAGGGAAUCUCCAUUUUUUUCAGCCUCAUACCUUGGAAAGUACAAAGGAGUGAGAGCUGGGACUACCAGCCAGAGGGUUCAUGGAGGUAGUGGGAGGGGAAGAUGGGUUCUGCAUGGAGCCACUCCAGGGACUUUUCUUCUGUCUCACAGCCUGACAAUCACCUCUAGCUGUUCUCAGUCCCAUUCUCAUCAAUGACCUCGUCUCCUGAUUUUGUACAAUAUCUAGGUGACCUUCUCUUCUUUCCAUCUUCAAACGCUUGAUCAUUGAUGCUCCCUUUUCUCUUCUCUCUCCUCCUGGGAAAAGAGAAGGACCAACAUCCCCCUUUCCCUUCCUCCUGUGCUGUCCCGACCCCUCUGAGACCUGGCUCUAGCAGUAAGUCCCUCUCUCUUCUGCAGCACCAGCCUCUGCCCAUCCCUGCCCUCUGCACACAAAGCUCUCACAUUGUCUGCACUUUAAGAACUUUUGUGGCAAACCCUGGCAAAUCCUGCCACUUGUUUCCACUCUUCUCAAAUGGCUUUGAGGUCAUCAUUGACCUAUCCCAUUUGACCCUGUCCUGUAUCUGAUGUUGUACCCUUUCUCCUUGAUCCCACUCUGGCAACUCUCCCACUCCCCUUUCUUGGAUCAACUGUCUUGCUCCUCAGUCUUGAUCAAUGCCUCCUUCUCUCUCUUUAGCCUUGGCCCUUUUUGGCCAGGGAAAUAAAUGUGAAAUACAUAAAGCUUCAUUUUAUCUUAUGAUUAUAGCUAUGUUGAUGUUACCCAAGACCUAAAAGUCACACUCUCUAAUUACACUUCCCUCCUGUGUUCUGGGUCCUCUUGGACCAGUCCUUACUCUGGCUCCCCUCCUGGAUGUCUCCCAGACUUCUAAUUAGAAUUACUGUUUCCUAUAUCAAGCUAAUUAUCUUUCCCACCAACCUCCUCCAUCCUUGGGUGAAAGCAUCACUUGGUUGCAAAAGUCAGAAAUCUGGGUUUCAUUCUUGCGGUAGGUAGAAUAAUGCCCCCAGGCCCCAGGUUUUGACAUCCGAAUCCCUGGGACUUUGCAGAUGUGAUUCAGUUUAGGAUUUUGAGAUGGGGAGAUUAUCUGGGAGAGCCUGAUGUCAUCAUAAGGUUCUUAUAAGAGGGAGGCAGGAGGGUUAGAGUGAGUAGUAAGAGAUGCAACAGUGGAAGCAAGAGGUUGGGGUGAUGUGGCCACAAGCCCAGGAGUGCUGACAGACAUCAGAAGCUGGAAGGGACAAGGAAUGGUUUCUCCUCUGGAGCCUCCAGAAAGAACCAGCCCUGCUGACACCUUGAUUUUAGCCUUGGAAGACUCAUUUUGGACUUCUGACCUUGAACGUUGUAAGAGAAUAAAUUUACAUAUUUUAAACUGGUA